CCUACGGUAGACAGCAGUGGGGAAUAUUGGGCAAUGGGCGCAAGCCUGACCCAGCAACGCCGCGUGAAGGAAGAAGGCUUUCGGGUUGUAAACUUCUUUUAAGAGGGAAGAGCAGAAGACGGUACCUCUUGACUAAGCCACAGCUAACUACGUGCCAGCAGCCGCGGUAAUACGUAGGUGGCAAGCGUUGUCCGGAUUUACUGGGUGUAAAGGGCGUGUAGCCGGGCUGACAAGUCAGAUGUGAAAUCCCUUGGCUCAACCACGGAACUGCAUUUGAAACUGUCGGUCUUGAGUAUCGGAGAGGCAGGCGGAAUUCCUAGUGUAGCGGUGAAAUGCGUAGAGAUUAGGAGGAACACCAGUGGCGAAGGCGGCCUGCUGGACGACAACUGACGGUGAGGCGCGAAAGCGUGGGGAGCAAACAGGAUUAGAUACCCUAGUAGUC
rnacentral:rRNA from 1 species